GACGAACGCUGGCGGCGUGCCUAAUACAUGCAAGUCGAACGCAGUGGGGACGGGUGAGUAACACGUGGGUAACCUCCCAUCAGAGGGGAUAACACUUGGAAACAGGUGCUAAACCGAUACUGCGGGAUGAACCCGCGGUGGAUUAGCUAGUUGGUGAGGUAACGGCUCACCAAGGCCACGAUGCAUAGCCGGCCUGAGAGGGUGAGCGGCCAACCUGGAACUGAGACACGGCCCAGACGCCGACGGGAGGCAGCAGUAGGGAAUCUUGGGCAAUGGACGAAAGUCUGACCGAGCAACGCCGCGUGAGUGAAGAAGGUUUUCGGAUCGUAAAGCUCUGUUGUUAGAGAAGCGGUAUCUAAACAGAAAGCCACGGCUAACUACGUGCCAGCAGCCGCGGUAAUAC
rnacentral:rRNA from 1 species